CGUCAGCGCCGGCUCCCCGCCGGCCCCCGGCCCCUUUUCCAGCCCUUUUCCAGCAGGGAAUGGGCCGGGAAAACAAAGAUUAACCCCCCCCCCCGUGGUGCCAAAGGGUUGGGAAAAACACCCGGAUCCUGGGAUGUGCCUCCAGAUCCCGGGAUGUGCCUCUGGAUCCCGGGAUGUGACAGCACCUCUUUGGGAGCUGCCGGAGCUCCCUCGGGGUCAUCCCGCUAAAAUUCUGCUAAAAUCCCACUAAAAUCCCACUAAAACUCCACUAAAAUUCCGCUAAAAUUCCACGGCUUUGCCUAAAAAAAAUGGGAUGGAUGGGCGGGAGGGGGUCAGGAAUGAACCAGGAUCUUCCCAGAUUUUGUGGGAUCAGGAAGCUGGAGUGGGGUUUGGAGCCGAUCCGGCCUCGGAUUUGGGGGGGAAAAGGUCACGUUGGAGCCCCCACGGAGGGGGAGGGACCUCCGGGAAUGUGGAAUUCCAACCCUGGUGGGCCUGGAAUUGCUGCUCCAGGGGCUGGUUUUUCCCUCCAGGGCCCCACUUGGCUCUGGGAAUGUGGAAUUCCAACUCCCAUGGGCCUGGAAUUGCUGCUCCAGGGGCUGGUUUUUCCCUCAGUGUCCCUCGGCUCCCAGGGAAACGAGGAUCCCACAGAUCCCUGGAUCCCGCAGAUCCCUGGAUCCCAAGGGAAUUCCUGGGCCUUUCGUCCCAGAAAUCCAGUAGCAACCUCCCUUGGAAUGUCCAGAGCCCGUUUUCCCAGACCCAAGCUGCUCUUUCCCUGAUUUUGGAAGCAGAAUCCGGGCGGGAAUUCCGGCCCUGGGGGGGUUUCUCCGGAUCCGGAGAAUUCCAGGCUGUGGAGGAAAAGCUCCGGAUUUGGAAAAUCUCCCCCCCCAGAGGGAAAUUCCUCCCAAUUUAUGGAAAGACGUGGGAAGAACCUGGUGGGAAAAUCUGCCCAGGAGCCCCAAAAUUCCCCCCCCCAGGCUCUUGUUUUUUGGGAUUUGAUCCCAAUUCCCGGUGCCCAUCCGGCCUCGCUCCCGUUCCCUGCUGGUGCCGGGAGGGAACCGGAUUCCUGCUCGUGCUUCCCAC
rnacentral:lncRNA from 1 species